rnacentral:lncRNA from 1 species
AUUAAAAUGAAGAUUAAAACAAAUUCAAGUGCUAUCGUUGGUGGGACAACUACUCUUAAGAAAAUGUUUAUUUUUUGCAGUAUUUUGCUGUUAGCAUUUGUACAGACAUCGACAGGAUUUAUUCUAGAACCAUAUACUGACCACGACAAUUGUAACAGAAAACACGUGACAGUCGCAGAACUGAGAGACAUUUUCCUUGGUCGUUGUGUUGACUUCCAGACGAAUUUACAUUCGGAGCGUCUCUGUACAGAUGGUUUAAAGAACAGUACAGACUUGUGGCUGAAGUUUUCCAUGGCGUUCCGUGACAGGCCACCAUGAAACGUGACUGCCGAUCUAUAUACAGACUUCAUAAAAACCGCAAAUCACGCUAUAGCAGGGAAGCAACUGUUCUACUCCGGUGCCUAUGAAUUAGCUCAGCAGUAUAGUUCUAUAGGAAACCGUUACACUACCGUUGAAAAAACAUUAAUUGUGUAUUUAAUUGAUAGGUUGGGUUUCUGUGGAGGAACCGCAGGCAACAGUCCUUCUGUGUCUUGUGAAAGUUGGGAUCCAGUUACAUGUCCAUAUACCGCAAGUGGAAGCUUCUGGCAAAUAGUAUCAGAAAACUUUGCAGGAAACGCUGUCGGUGACGUUUACGCUCUCCUGAAUGCAACCAGAAAUCCAAUUUUCAAAAGUAACUCGUACUUUGCAAAAUUCGAGCUUCCAAAUCUACGAAGUGGUAUAGUGACGAAACUGACAGCCAUUCUGAUCAACGACUCUCCUACAACCAAACG